rnacentral:lncRNA from 1 species
GCCGGAGGAACUGCGGCACCGCUACGGUGGGAGCCGAAACCGACGACACCCCAUGCGGGGGCGGGGACAGGAUCUGGGUCGAGAUCCACGAACGACAGGCCAGGAGGACCCGGGGGGCGGGCGGGACGACAGCGAGGAACAGCGUGGCAGCCGGAGCAGGAAACCCGACGCGGGGCCGGGAAUGGCGGAUCUGGGACAGAGCACGCGCGACCGACCUCCCUCGCGCAAAGGAGGCAGGCGGAGGCGGGCGGCCGUGGCGGGGGAUUGGAGGAGACUUUGCGGAGAUCCCUAGCGCCCACGGCGGGGGUGGACGCGGCGGCGGCAGGCGGCAAGAAGAGAGAAGUAGGGCGCUCACCUCGUCGUCGAUCCGGCCACGGGAGAAGAAGCGCGGCCACCCCGUCGUCGAUCUGCCCGGGGGAGAAGAAGUCCACCCGCCAUCUUGCUCUGUGAUAUUGAGCACGAGGUGAGAGGUGAGGGUAUCGGGGAGAAGUGGAUCAGAGAGAGGUAUCGGUGUGCAUAUGGUCGAAGGGGGUGUCCGGCUUGGGGAGGAGAGAGGUGUUUUUUUUUAUUUUUUUAAGAAGAUGGAUGCUAGGCUGAUUUUCUAUUUUAUUUUUUAUAUUUUUUAAAGAAACAACCAGAAGAACAUGCGUGCAUCUAUUUGUUUUUUUACUUGUUGGGAAGCACCACAUUCGAAAUAAUUAGAACCCUAUUUAAGUAGGAGCCAGAUAUCUAUUUUAAAUAUUUCUAAAAAUAUUUUUUGACACCCAACCUAUGUCAAUUUUUUUGACAUUUAUAAAUUAGGCCUCAUGACAUAGUGAAUAUUGUCAUAGUAUAGAAUUAGAAUAGUUCUAUGACAUUUAUUAUGACAUCCAGCUUUUUUAUGUCACUAGGUCAAAAUGACUAUUACAGAAUGUCAUAAUCUGGGUGAUAUAAUGACACCACGCUCUAUUGUCAUACUAAAUAUGUCAAAAAAUCAUGCAUUUCUUGUAGUGUAAUGAGAACGGUGUUGGGUAUUUUAACGUGUCGGUGUUUUCCCCACCGGGGGUCACACCAACGAGUAAAUUUGUAUGCGUGCUCCCUUUCCCAGAUGGUGAUGCAAGAAGACACUGAGAUUUAUCCUGGUUCGGGCAAGAGAAGGCCCUACGUCUAGCGGGGGGGAGAGAGUUGGUAUUAUCUUGCACCGAAGUGCUUGUAUAGGGGUGAAUACAAGCGUGGUAUGGAGUGUGUCUUGAUCUAUUCCUGAGUCCCUCCUUUUAUAGUUCCAAGGAGUGACUCAGGGUACAUGUAUAGAUGUCAGAGUAGGGGUCGAUAGCAGCAUGGAGCGCUGACCUACUCGAGGCUUCCGUACCGGCAUGGCCUCGAACCGUCCCAUCUUGAUAGCCUAGUGAUGAUUACGCGUGCCCCUGCAUUCUGCUCUGCGCGCCGUCUUGGAUUGGUCUGGCAGAUGCACGCUUAUAUGGCUCGGCGGCAAAUCCGGCGGAGCGGUUACGGUGUGGUCAG